GGUUAUAAGUGGAUUUAAACUGAUUAUCUGUUCUUGGCUUAAUUUUGGUAAGUGAUAGCUAUUCAGAAAAUUGUCCAUUUCCUUUAGAUUUUUGAAUUUUGUUGAGUACAGGUUUUCAAUGUAUGAACUGAUGAUUCUCUGGAUUUCCUCAGUGUCUGUUGUUUAGUGUUCUCUCUCUCUGCCUUUUGGUUAGUUUGGAUAGAGGUUUGUCUAUCUUGUUGAACUUCUCAAAGAACCACCUCUUUGUUUCAUUAAUUCUUUGUAAUGUUUUCCUAGUUUCUACUUUAUUGAUUUCAGCCCUCAGUUUGAUUAUUUCCUGGCAUCUACUUCUCUGUGGUGAGUUUGCUUCUUUUUGCUCUAAAGCUUUCAGUUGUUCUGUCAGUUCUCUAGUGUGACUAUACUCCAGUUUCUUCAUGUGGGCACUUAGUGCUGUGAACUUUCAGAGUGCCCCAUAAGUUUGGUUUACUCAGCAGGAAAAUACAAUGGAACCUUGAAUUCUCGGGCAAAUGGAUGGAACUAGAAGAAACCAUCCUGAGUGAGGGACUCAUCCAGUAGCUGAUGGAAACAAAAGCAGAGACCCACAGUAAAACACUGAGCCAAAUUACUGGAUCCAGUUUUAGAGAGGGAGGAGUGAUGAGCAAAGAGGUCAAGACAAAGACGGUUAAAUCAACAGAAACAGCUGACCUGAACAAGGAGGAGCUCAUGGAUCCCAGACUUACAGCUUGGAAACCAGUAGAGGAUGGAACCAGGCCUUCUGCAUGUCUAUGAAGAAUUGUGUUGGGAUUUUGAUGGGGACUGCAUUGAAUCUGUAGAUUGCUUUUGGUCUUUCACUUGCUUGGUUAGAAUUACCCAAUGACAUACCAUCUUACACCUGUCUUAAUGGCUAAGGAAAAAACAUUGAUGACAGCUUAUGCUGAACAGGAUGUGGAGUAUGAGGACCACUCCUCCACUGCUGAUGGGAGUGCAAUUUGUUCAGGCACCUUGAAAAUCAGUAUUGUUGUUUCUUAUAAAAUGGGAAUCAAUCUACCUCAAAACCCAGCGAUACCACUCUUGCGCAUACACCCAAAAGAUGCACAAUCAUACCCCAAGGCCAUUUAUGUUCAUAGCAGCAUUAUUUGUACUAGCCAGAACCUGGAAACAACCUUGAUGUCCAUCAAGCUAAGCAUGGAUAAAGAAAAUGUGGUACAUUUACACAAUGGAGUAUUACUCUAUGGAAAACAUACAAACAAAAAUCAAUGACAUCUUGAAAAUUGCAGGCAAAUGAAUGGAAUUAGAAAAACUCCUGAGUGAGGUAACCCAGGCUCAGAAAAAAAAAACCACAGUAGGUAGUCACUCAUAAUUACAACCAAUGUAAAUUAAACGAUAAGCAGGCUACAAACCCCCAACUCCAAAGAAGCUAGGUCAAAAUGGAGACUCUAAGAGGGACACACAUGGAGGGCCUAGGAAAAAAAAUAGUAUCUCCUGAGUAAACUGGAAGGGGCUAGAAGGGAGGGGAAGGGAGAUGGGAUCAAGAAAAUUGAGUUGGGGGAGGAACAGAGGGAAGAGCAAUGAAAGAGAUAUCUUGAUAAGGGCAGGCAUUGUGGGGUUAGAGAGAAACCUGAUCCUAGGGAAAUUCUUAGGAAUCUGUAAGGAUAACCCUAGCUAAGACUCCUAUCAAUAAUGGAGAGGGUUUCUGAAUAGGCAUUCCCAAUUAUUCAGAUUAGUGACUACCCUGUCAUCAUAGAAUCUAUAUCCAGUACCUGAUGGAAGCAGAUUCAGUAACCCACAGCCAAGCACUGGGUUGAGCUCCUGGAGUUCAGUUGAAGGAGGGAGUAUAGAUGAUAUGAACAAGGUUGGUCAAGACCAUGGUGGGGAAAAACCACAGCUGACCCGAACUAGUGGGAGCUCAUGGACUAUGGACUAACAGCUGGGGAACCUGCAUUGAAUUGAACUAGACCUUCUGAAUGUGGGUGAUAGUUAUGUUACCUGAUCUGUUCAGGAGCUCUGGCAGUGGCACCAGGACCUAUCCCAGGAGCAUGAACUGGCUUUUUGGAGCCCAUUCCCUAUGAUAGGAUACCUUGUUCAGCCUUGAUACAGAGGGGAGGGACUUGGUCCUACCUUAACUGGUAUGCCAAACUUUGUUGACUCCCCAAGAUAGGCCUUGCCCCCUAUGAGGGGUAGGAAAUGGGAAGACCAGGGGCAGGAGAAGGGGAGGGAUGAGGAAAUGUGGUUGGUAUGUAAAAUGAAAAAUAAAAUUUUUUAAUAAACAAAAAAGAGAAGGAAGAUUUAUUUAAACAUUUUCUUAAGCCAGUAUUCUGAUAAUAUAAACCAGACAAAGAACAAUGAAAAAGAAAAAAGAAAGUCAUAUGCCAAUCUCCAUGGAAUAGUUAGAAAAUUUCUGAAUAAAAGAUUUGCAAACAGAAUUGAAAAUCGCUUCAGGAUGGUCAUUCAUCAUGAUCAAGUCAGCUUUCAUCACUAAAAUGCAAGGAUGCUAUAACUUGUAAAUCAAUAAAUGCACUGCAUCACAUAGAUACUGAAAGACAUAAUCACAUGAUCAUCUCAUUAGAUGAACUCUGUUUCCUACUAUAAUGUCUUCGGAACAUGAAAGGAUCUCUAAUCUCAUGAACUCACAGUACUAGAAUUUAUUUUUUGAUGCAAUAAAAUUCCUCAAAAUUAUUCAUUCUGGGUUUAAUAACCAGAUUGGAAUCAUAAAUAAAUAUUUUAUAUUUUUUACAUAAUAUUUUAUAAAGAGAAAACAAGCUGUAACUAUGUGUCUUAUUUUGACCUCAAACUUCCUUUUGUUGCAUUGUAACAAGGGCUAGAAAUAAAUUCAUAUACCACCAUGCUCAAGAUUAUUUGGUUAUUUAAAAAUAUUUAUUUGCUAUUUUAAUCAUUUGGACAUAUUUUCUCAAUAUUGCAACACUUAGUAACCUUUAACUAAUAUAAAUCUAAGACAACAAAAAAUACCUACUGUCAGUCACAUUUCUUAAAUCAGAAAAUCUAUAUGAAGCUACUACCUAGAGAGCAUUUAGUCCAACUUUAAAAGUCUCCUUGGUCUUUCACAACAACACUAUUUAACAGCCUGAGAGUUUCCCUCUUAU
rnacentral:lncRNA from 1 species